rnacentral:rRNA from 1 species
AUACGUAGGGGGCGAGCGUUGUCCGGAAUGAUUGGGCGUAAAGGGCGCGUAGGCGGCUUUGCAAGUCAGUAGUGGAAGUCCAUUUUUCAAGGAUAGAAGUGCUACAGAAACUGCGGAGCUUGAGUGCAGGAGAGGUUAUCGGAAUUCCCGGUGUAGCGGUGAAAUGCGUAGAGAUCGGGAGGAACACCAGUGGCGAAGGCGGGUAACUGGACUGCAACUGACGCUGAGGCGCGAAAGCGUGGGGAGCGAACAGGAUUAGAUACCCUGGUAGUCCACGCCAUAAACGAUGAAUACUAGGUGUAGGGGGUAUCGACUCCCUCUGUGCCGCAGUUAACACAAUAAGUAUUCCGCCUGGGGAGUACGGCCGCAAGGUUGAAACUCAAAUGAAUUGGCGGGG